UGGGGAAUUUUGGACAAUGGGCGAAAGCCUGAUCCAGCAAUGCCGCGUGUGUGAAGAAGGCCUUCGGGUUGUAAAGCACUUUUGUCCGGAAAGAAAUGGCUCUGGUUAAUACCUGGGGUCGAUGACGGUACCGGAAGAAUAAGGACCGGCUAACUACGUGCCAGCAGCCGCGGUAAUACGUAGGGUCCAAGCGUUAAUCGGAAUUACUGGGCGUAAAGCGUGCGCAGGCGGUUGUGCAAGACCGAUGUGAAAUCCCCGAGCUUAACUUGGGAAUUGCAUUGGUGACUGCACGGCUAGAGUGUNUCAGAGGGGGGUAGAAUUCCACGUGUAGCAGUGAAAUGCGUAGAGAUGUGGAGGAAUACCGAUGGCGAAGGCAGCCCCCUGGGAUAACACUGACGCUCAUGCACGAAAGCGUGGGGAGCAAACAGGAUUAGAUACCCUGGUAGUCCACGCCCUAAACGAUGUCAACUAGUUGUUGGGGAUUCAUUUCCUUAGUAACGUAGCUAACGCGUGAAGUUGACCGCCUGGGGAGUACGGUCGCAAGAUUAAAACUCAAAUGAAUUGACGGGGUCAUAGCUGUUUCC
rnacentral:rRNA from 1 species